rnacentral:rRNA from 1 species
GACGAACGCUGGCGGCAGGCCUAACACAUGCAAGUCGAGCGGAGCGGGGGACGGGUGAGUAAUGCCUAGGAAUCUGCAUGGUAGUGGGGGAUAACGUCCGGAAAGGGGCGCUAAUAUCGCAUACUAUCAGAUGAGCCUAGGGGGGAUUAGCUAGUUGGUGGGGUAAAGGCUUACCAAGGCGACGAUCCGUAACUGGUCUGAGAGGAUGAUCAGUCACACUGGAACUGAGACACGGUCCAGACUCCUACGGGAGGCAGCAGUGGGGAAUCUUGGACAAUGGGCGAAAGCCUGAUCCAGCCAUGCCGCGUGUGUGAAGAAGGUCUUCGGAUUGUAAAGCACUGUAAGUUGGGAGGCGUUACCUACAGAAAAAGCACCGGCUAACUACGUGCCAGCAGCCGCGGUAAUAC